rnacentral:rRNA from 1 species
UACGAAGGGGGCUAGCGUUGCUCGGAAUUACUGGGCGUAUAGCGCACGUAGGCGGGUUGUUAAGUCGGGGGUGAAAUCCUGGAGCUCAACUCCAGAACUGCCUUCGAGACUGGCGAUCUUGAGUCCGGGAGAGGUGAGUGGAACUGCGAGUGUAGAGGUGAAAGUCGUAGAGAUUCGCAGGAACACCAGUGGAGAAGGCGGCUCACUGGCCCGGUACUGACGCUGAGGUGCGAAAGCGUGGGGAGCAAACAGG